rnacentral:rRNA from 1 species
UGAACGCUGGCGGCGUAGCCUAACACAUGCAAGUCGAACGAAGCACUCCGGUUGAGAUUCGUCAAGAACUGGAUUGACUAGUGGCGGACGGGUGAGUAAUGUAUGAGCAACCUGCCUUUCAGAGGGGGACAACAGUUGGAAACGACUAGCUAAUACCGCAUAAUGUAUUUGGGUGGCACCACUUGGAUACCAAAGGAGCAAUCCGCUGAAAGAUGGGCUCGAUAUCUGAUUAGUUAGUUGGUGAGGUAACGGCUCACCAAGACUGCGAUCAGUAGCCGGACUGAGAGGUUGAACGGCCACAUUGGGACUGAGAUACGGCCCAGACUCCUACGGGAGGCAGCAGUGGGGAAUAUUGGGCAAUGGGCGAAAGCCUGACCCAGCAACGCCGCGUGAGUGAAGAAGGCCUUCGGGUUGUAAAGCUCUGUUAUAGGGGACGAAGGAAGUGACGGUACCCUAUAAGGAAGCCCCGGCUAACUACGUGCCAGCAGCAGC